GGGUUGUGAGGUUAAGCGACUAAGCGUACACGGUGGAUGCCCUGGCAGUCAGAGGCGAUGAAGGGCGUGCUAAUCUGCGAUAAGCGCCGGUAAGGUGAUAUGAACCGUUAUAACCGGCGAUACCCGAAUGGGGAAACCCAGUGUGAUUCGUCACACUAUCAUUAACUGAAUCCAUAGGUUAAUGAGGCGAACCGGGGGAACUGAAACAUCUAAGUACCCCGAGGAAAAGAAAUCAACCGAGAUUCCCCCAGUAGCGGCGAGCGAACGGGGAGGAGCCCAGAGCCUGAAUCAGCAUGUGUGUUAGUGGAAGCGUCUGGAAAGGUGCGCGAUACAGGGUGACAGCCCCGUACACAAAAGCGCAUGUGCUGUGAGCUCGAUGAGUAGGGCGGGACACGUGGUAUCCUGUCUGAAUAUGGGGGGACCAUCCUCCAAGGCUAAAUACUCCUGACUGACCGAUAGUGAACCAGUACCGUGAGGGAAAGGCGAAAAGAACCCCGGCGAGGGGAGUGAAAAAGAACCUGAAACCGUGUACGUACAAGCAGUGGGAGCACAGGUUUACCUGUGUGACUGCGUACCUUUUGUAUAAUGGGUCAGCGACUUAUAUUCUGUAGCAAGGUUAACCGUAUAGGGGAGCCGUAGGGAAACCGAGUCUUAACCGGGCGUUAAGUUGCAGGGUAUAGACCCGAAACCCGGUGAUCUAGCCAUGGGCAGGUUGAAGGUUGGGUAACACUAACUGGAGGACCGAACCGACUAAUGUUGAAAAAUUAGCGGAUGACCUGUGGCUGGGGGUGAAAGGCCAAUCAAACCGGGAGAUAGCUGGUUCUCCCCGAAAGCUAUUUAGGUAGCGCCUCGUGAAUUCAUCUCCGGGGGUAGAGCACUGUUUCGGCUAGGGGGCCAUCCCGGCUUACCAACCCGAUGCAAACUGCGAAUACCGGAGAAUGUUAUCACGGGAGACACACGGCGGGUGCUAACGUCCGUCGUGAAGAGGGAAACAACCCAGACCGCCAGCUAAGGUCCCAAAGUCAUGGUUAAGUGGGAAACGAUGUGGGAAGGCCCAGACAGCCAGGAUGUUGGCUUAGAAGCAGCCAUCAUUUAAAGAAAGCGUAAUAGCUCACUGGUCGAGUCGGCCUGCGCGGAAGAUGUAACGGGGCUAAACCAUGCACCGAAGCUGCGGCAGCGAACGUAUCACCCAAGACAACUUUACGGAGUUGACGAUUGACGGAGCGAAGCGACGUCAAAGCGUUCAUUAAAGUCGAGUUGGCUUAGGGAUACGUUCGUUGGGUAGGGGAGCGUUCUGUAAGCCUGUGAAGGUGUGUCGUGAGGCAUGCUGGAGGUAUCAGAAGUGCGAAUGCUGACAUAAGUAACGAUAAAGCGGGUGAAAAGCCCGCUCGCCGGAAGACCAAGGGUUCCUGUCCAACGUUAAUCGGGGCAGGGUGAGUCGACCUAAGGCGAGGCCGAAAGGCGUAGUCGAUGGGAAACGGGUUAAUAUUCCCGUACUUGGUGUUACUGCGAAGGGGACGGAGAAGGCUAUGUUGGCCGGGCGACGGUUGUCCCGGUUUAAGCGUGUAGGUGUGUGUUCCGUAAAUCCGGUUCACUUUAACACUGAGGCGUGACGACGAGGCACUACGGUGCUGAAGCAACAAAUGCCCUGCUUCCGUGAAAAGCCUCUAAGCAUCAGGUAACACGAAAUCGUACCCCAAACCGACACAGGUGGUCAGGUAGAGAAUACCAAGGCGCUUGAGAGAACUCGGGUGAAGGAACUAGGCAAAAUGGUGCCGUAACUUCGGGAGAAGGCACGCUGACACGUAGGUGAAGUGAUUUACUCAUGGAGCUGAAGUCAGUCGAAGAUACCAGCUGGCUGCAACUGUUUAUUAAAAACACAGCACUGUGCAAACACGAAAGUGGACGUAUACGGUGUGACGCCUGCCCGGUGCCGGAAGGUUAAUUGAUGGGGUCAGCGUAAGCGAAGCUCCUGAUCGAAGCCCCGGUAAACGGCGGCCGUAACUAUAACGGUCCUAAGGUAGCGAAAUUCCUUGUCGGGUAAGUUCCGACCUGCACGAAUGGCGUAAUGAUGGCCAGGCUGUCUCCACCCGAGACUCAGUGAAAUUGAACUCGCUGUGAAGAUGCAGUGUACCCGCGGCAAGACGGAAAGACCCCGUGAACCUUUACUAUAGCUUGACACUGAACAUUGAGCCUUGAUGUGUAGGAUAGGUGGGAGGCUUUGAAGUGUGGACGCCAGUCUGCAUGGAGCCGACCUUGAAAUACCACCCUUUAAUGUUUGAUGUUCUAACGUGGACCCGUAAUCCGGGUUGCGGACAGUGUCUGGUGGGUAGUUUGACUGGGGCGGUCUCCUCCUAAAGAGUAACGGAGGAGCACGAAGGUUGGCUAAUCUGGUCGGACAUCAGGAGGUUAGUGCAAUGGCAUAAGCCAGCUUGACUGCGAGCGUGACGGCGCGAGCAGGUGCGAAAGCAGGUCAUAGUGAUCCGGUGGUUCUGAAUGGAAGGGCCAUCGCUCAACGGAUAAAAGGUACUCCGGGGAUAACAGGCUGAUACCGCCCAAGAGUUCAUAUCGACGGCGGUGUUUGGCACCUCGAUGUCGGCUCAUCACAUCCCGGGCUGAAGUAGGUCCCAAGGGUAUGGCUGUUCGCCAUUUAAAGUGGUACGCGAGCUGGGUUUAGAACGUCGUGAGACAGUUCGGUCCCUAUCUGCCGUGGGCGCUGGAGAACUGAGGGGCUGCUCCUAGUACGAGAGGACCGGAGUGGACGCAUCACUGGUGUUCGGGUUGUCAUGCCAAUGGCACUGCCCGGUAGCUAAAUGCGGAAGAGAUAAGUGCUGAAAGCAUCUAAGCACGAAACUUGCCCCGAGAUGAGUUCUCCCUGAGACUUAGAGUCUCCUGAAGGAACGUUGAAGACGACGACGUUGAUAGGCCGGGUGUGUAAGCGCAGCGAUGCGUUGAGCUAACCGGUACUAAUGAACCGUGAGGCUUAACCUUACAACGCCGAAG
rnacentral:rRNA from 1 species